CAGGAUGGCAGAUUUCUGUUUGACGGAGAGGCUCCUGGCAACGCGCAGGCGUUCUGUCCCGGUUUGUCUCUCAGAUGAGAGUCUUCGCCAGCAUUCCGAGGCCGAAGGCUCGCCGGCCCGCCGAGAGCGGAGCGCCACUGCGGAGUCAAGCUCUGCCAAGUCCAAUACUGAAAGUAGGUGAAUGAGAUUUGGCUGCCUUCUAAAUUCAAUGUCUGUGGAAUUUCUUGGACCUGAAACAGAGCCCAGAACAAGAUUACACUUGGCCACUGAGCUGAAAUAAAGCUCUGUUGGAAAUCGCUUGCAGACUGUCACAGCAGCCUCUGGAACCGCUGUCUGCACAGAGUGGGAAGAGCAGGCAAGGGUUUUCUUUGGUGCUUGCCUGCUUCCUCUUCCCGUCGGUUUCUUGCCUUUUUCUGGACCUUGUCCUGUGGCUGCAUUGUCCAGACCUCCUUCCUGGGCUGUAGAUGAAGUCUUGGGCAAGAAAAUAAGAACAUGAUGAACAGAGAGCCUGGAUUCUGAUUCCAUGUAAACAUCCCCAGCUGAACUGGAAAUGCUGUAGUCACAUCUAUUGAAAAGCCAAAAGCUAUCAUUUUGCAUGAUAUUGAGUAGACUCUUCAAUAUUUUUUCAUGACCUGGAAAUGAAUGGAAAUAAAAUGCAUAUGUAUUAGUCAGGGUUCUCAAGAGAA